AAAAGGCGUUUGAGUCGCGUGUCCUGGACCCGAAGCGGGAUGAUCUAGCCCUGAGCAGGUUGAAGCGCGGGUAAGACCGCGUGGAGGACCGAACCCACCUGGGUUGAAAACCGGGGGGAUGACUUGGGGCUAGGGGUGAAAGGCCAAUCAAAUUCCGUGAUAGCUGGUUCUCUCCGAAAUGCAUUUGGGUGCAGCGUCGGGUCAUUACGUCCCGGGGGUAGAGCUACUGGAUGCUUGCGGGCCCGUAUCGGGUACCAACAGCAACCAAACUCCGAAUACCGGUGACGCGUAUCCCGGCAGUGAGUCGGCGGGGGAUAAGCUUCGUCGUCGAAAGGGAAACAGCCCAGACCGUCGUCUAAGGUCCCGAAGCGUGUGCUAAGUGGGAAAGGAUGUGGAGUCGCAUAGACAGCCAGGAGGUUGGCUCAGAAGCAGCCACCCUUGAAAGAGUGCGUAACAGCUCACUGGUCUAGUGGUUCCGCGCCGACAAUGUAGCGGGGCUCAAGCACACCACCGAAGACGCGGCAGUAUUUUGUACUGGGUAGGAGAGCGUCCCAUGAGGGGCGAAGCGGCCGUGUGAACGCGCCGUGGACUUCAUGGGAGUGAGAAUGCAGACAUGAGUAGCGAGAGACGGGUGAAGAUCCCGUCCGCUGGAUGACCAAGGGUUCCAGGGCCACGUUCAUCGUCCCUGGGUGAGUCGGGUCCUAAGGCGAGGCCGACAGGCGUAGUCGAAUGGAUGAACGGGUCGAUAUUCCCGUACCGGCUUUCAGCCGCCAAAACCGAGGCUUGGAGUACUAACCUCCGGGUCCGGGCUUACUGCUCCUUCGGGGGCGGGAUGCCCUGGCCUGUUGGGACCGAUCCUUGUAGUAGGUCAGCGCAGGAGUGACGCAGAAGGGUAGCCGGCCGCGGAGGUGGUCUUCCGUGGUCAAGCACGCAGGGCGUGGGACAGGCAAAUCCGUCCCGCAUGGGUCCGAGGUGCGAUGAUGGGGGCCUUAUGGCCCGAUAUCCGGUGAUCCCGGCUGCCGAGAAAAGCUUCGGCGUCAGGCUCAAAGCCGCCCGUACCCCAAACCGACACUGGUGGUCAGGUAGAGAAUACCAAAGCGAUCGAGCGAAUCCUGGUCAAGGAACUCGGCAAAUCACUCCCGUUCCUUCGGUUUAAGGGAGACCCCCGAUGGUGAACACACUUGCUGUGGGAGCUUUUGGGGGUGGCACAGACCAGGGGGUAGCGACUGUUUACCAAAAACACAGGUGCAUGCGAAGGCGCAAGCCGCUGUAUAUGCACUGACGCCUGCCCGGUGCCGGAAGGUUAAGAGGAUCCGUCAGCCUUCGGGUGAAGCGGUGAAUUCAAGCCCCGGUAAACGGCGGUGGUAACUAUAACCAUCCUAAGGUAGCGAAAUUCCUUGUCGGGUAAGUUCCGACCUGCACGAAUGGCGU
rnacentral:rRNA from 1 species